GCUGGUGGCUCAGUGGUUAAGAGCUUGGCUGCUAACCAAAAGGUUGGUGGUUUGAACCCUUCAACAGCU
rnacentral:tRNA from 1 species